ensembl:miRNA
AUACCCAAUGAAUGCGAAAACCUCAGUCAGCCUUGUGGAUGUAUGUUCUGCAGACCUGACAUCUAGAGGACUGACUGAAAUUUUCACUUUCAGCUAA